AGGCAACUCCUUAUGAACAGUUUCGAUCCCGACAGGUGUUGGCUGCCUGUGAUGCCGAGUGGUUAUGGCUUGGCAGUUGGCUCUGGAGAAAGUACACCAGCUCCUUGAAUCUGCACAAAGAGUGACGGAGAGGACGAAAGUUUAUUUUCUUUGUGCUGCAACUCGAGAUCGAGAGAGCGAGAGCGUGUUGAUAUUCUGGAAAGGUAGACAACAAAGAGAGGGCCGAAAGGGUCUCAUCUCAGGUCAGUGUACCAUGCAGCAGCCUAUUUGACAUCGUCACCGGCUGGAGUCGCUCGCUCAAUCUUUUUCAAAUUUUAACUCAAAUUUUAAUCUUUUCAAUUCUGGGUGUGUUUGAAUUUCAAAGUCUGCAACUUUUUCUUUACAAGUAUAAGAGGGUUGGGCAUUUUGUUUGUUUAAAAUAGAUUUGACAAUUCCACAUAUGAAGACUGUGGAGAGGUAUGGUAUGUUUAUCUUCCUAGCUAUGGUUUUUAACUUGGGAGUAGAUUGGUUAUGGUUUUUACUACUGCAGUAGACUUAUUAUGUAUAGAAACUCAACUGUAUUUUGAAGCCGAGACAAGGUUAAUCGAAUUUUUGAUAAUUCUAUCGUAAGGUCUUUGUGGAUAUUUUUUACUGUCUGUUCAGUUUGCAAAUUCUGCUUCAAUACUUUCUUCUACUAAUCAUAUGGUUACGUUUUAUGUUUUAUCUUUCACUGAUGGUGUUUGGGUUAUGACUGCAACAUCUACAUACUAGGCUAGGCAGUGAGUUACUUCUUGAGGUGUUUCUAAUAUAUUAUACCAUACUAAAAUUUGGAUAGGUGGCUGAGCACUCUGCUCGAUUUAUUGUUGAUUUGCUUUUGGUGUUAUUUCUGGUAACUCUGGUUAGUUUGUUUUUAUAUAGGGACACUGAACUCUAGAACAUGCAAAGUUCAAAGCUAGGGUGGAGGUUUUACUGAGAAAUCAAAGGUGGAACUGGCAAGAAAAUAUUUUAAGGGAUGAAUUGUCUUCAGAUUUGGAAGAGAAAAAAAUGAAAAUAUUUUUCCUGAAAGACUAUAUUCAGGGCUUUUCUGAAAAUAGUCUUUCAGCGCAAAUACUCUAUAUAGUCUUUCAACCCAGUAAUACUGUACAUGAGCCCAGAAAUUCCUGCCAAUCGAUGAAGGACUUUGAGAUGGUUUUGGAGAUGCAAUAUGACUUGGAGAUGGAGACAUGCCUGGGUCUUCGUCAAAACAGAACUUCUCAACCAUUGAAGCUUGGAAUUGGCUUUAUCGCUUCUCAGUGAGAAAAACUGGUAAAUUUUGACAGGGCAUCCACCGCUUAGGAGUUUGCUUCUUCACCUUCUGAUGUUCGAUUUGGCUUCUGCGUUUUAUCGAACUAAUGGUGUGUUUUGAAUCACCAUCAAAUUAGUAGCGAAAUUCCCUCCCUUGAUCACCACUCAGGCUCUUUGCAGUAUAUUUGACCUGUAGCUUUCUAUGUCCUCUGUCUUCUGCCCAUCAUAAUCUGAUUCAAGUUUGAUUCCAGUUUCGCAGCAGGAGAUAGUUUCUCUGUACUAGAGGUUCUGUCAGCUCUAUCUUAGUGGCGGAGGUUUCAUCUUCGCCGACGAGUUUUUUGUCCGUACCGGAAUUCGCAGUCAAUCCUCUCUCUCAGUUUUGGCUGGGUGGACGUAGAUACUGGGGGAGAGGGAUUGGAGCAAGACCACACUUGCUCUUAGGAGAUGCUUCUGUAUCAACGACGCCCAAUUUCCUUCUCUCAUCAGAGAGAUUUGAUCAAACAGCAAAGCUACUUAGUUUUGGGGGUGAAUUCAGAAGCUAUGUCCGUUUUGGGGGAGGAGAAGAUAUGCUGCAAAACAGUUAGAAUCAAGACAAAACGAAGGACCCUCGAUCAAUAUCAGUACUUCUGUUCGCCAACAUCAGAAACAUCCAUCAACAUCAAUACCUAUCACGGCCUGCUCUCAAAUUGAAAUUCCAUUGAUAGUCUGAGAGAGGAAGAUUUGACUAAAAUCAAAUAGAAAAGGAACUUACUGAUUCGGCGAAGCACAAGAGAACGGCUUUGAGUAUGAGUUUAUUUGAGGGUCUUUACUUACAGAGGUUGCUCUCUAGUAGAAGGGACUGUGGUGUUCUGAUUUCUGCUUUUGAUGGAUUUGGCGAGAGUGAGGAUCGCAGACUCCACCCCUGUAACUAUAUCUAAGAUGAUCCAACUCUCAUAUACGAAGCUUAUUAUAGGGUGGCUUAACUACUACACGAUGUUGACAAAUUUGAUUCAUCAAAGGGGUUCAAAAUCUCUACUUAUGUUUACUGGUGGAUACUCUUUUCAAUUUAAAUGGUCAACAACUUGGGUGUUUCAAGAGCGCUGGUUGAAAAUUCCAGAACCUUACUACUGCCUACACAUAUGCAUGAGAGGUUAGGGUUACUCAAAAAUGCAAAAGUUAGAUUGGAAGAGAAACGAAUAACUCCAUCUAUCGAUAGGAUUGCAGAAAGCCUGAAUAUGUCCAAAAAGAAAGUUAGGAAGUUACUCAGGUAUCAAGUGCUCGACAAACCAAGAGAGGCCAACACCUUAUGAAAUGAAUAUCUAAAAGCAUCAAAAGAGCGUUCUACCUGCAACCAGUUUUUAUAAAAUCCUUCAAUGUAGACCCUCUUUUGAGUCUCUUUAGCUCGAGACCCAAACACAAGACACAGCUAAAGAAUAGUUUAUCCCUUCCUUGAGUCAAAAAAUGGGACAGUGCCUUGGUUGUAUCUGAGCAGACCACUCUACUAUUGCAAUCAGAAAAACUUUUGGAAAGUUUGAUGAUGUGCUCGAAUCUGGUUGUCAUUGUUUGCCUUGCCAUUGAGGUAGUGCAGUAGCUGCUCAUGUCUGUUUUCAACUGCAGCAAUUAGAUGUUUUACUGAUACACAGAUUUGGAAGCUUAAGAAAUUGUGCUCCAAGGGGCCGAACCAUAAUCUGCAUCAAUGUUCAAUCAAAUUGGUGGAACUUCAAAAUAAGAACAAGGCACAAAAUCUGUAAUUUUCAAGCCAACAUCCAUCAAACAGUUUUCAUUAUUGUCUUUCAUCUAUUGUUUUAUUAAACAAUACUUACCAAGUUUGAUUUGAAGUUAUUGAUUUCGGUGGAGAAAUUUGUGUAGCAUGUUCAACAAAAACAUUCUGCUAUGCAAUGUUAUCCCAGUAA